rnacentral:tRNA from 1 species
AGCCAGUUAGCUCAGUGGGUUGAGUGCGGUGCUGAGAACACCGAGGUCGCGAGUUCGAUUCCCGUUCAGUCCC